UACGUAGGGUGCGAGCGUUGUCCGGAAUUAUUGGGCGUAAAGAGCUUGUAGGCGGUUUGUCGCGGUCUGCUGUGAAAAUCCGGGGCUCAACCCCGGACUUGCAGUGGGUACGGGCAGACUAGAGUGUGGUAGGGGAGCUGGAAUCCUGGUGUAGCGGUGAAAUGCGCAGGAUAUCAGGAGGAACACCAGUGGCGGAAGGCGCCACUCUGGGCCGUAACUGACGGCUGAGAGCGAAAGCGUGGGUAGCAAACAGG
rnacentral:rRNA from 1 species